AUCAAAGAAGGUAAUAAUCCUGUAGUCGAAAAUGUUGUCUCUCUUGAGUGGAUCCUGAGUACGACGGAGCACGUGAAAUUCCGUCGGAAUCUGGGAGGACCAUCUCCUAAGGCUAAAUACUCUCUAGUGACCGAUAGUGAACCAGUACCGUGAGGGAAAGGUGAAAAGCACCCCGGAAGGGGAGUGAAAUAGAACCUGAAACCGUGUGCUUACAAGUAGUCAGAGCCCGUUAAUGGGUGAUGGCGUGCCUUUUGUAGAAUGAACCGGCGAGUUACGAUUUGAUGCAAGGUUAAGCAGUAAAUGUGGAGCCGUAGCGAAAGCGAGUCUGAAUAGGGCGUUUAGUAUUUGGUCGUAGACCCGAAACCAGGUGAUCUACCCUUGGUCAGGUUGAAGUUCAGGUAACACUGAAUGGAGGACCGAACCGACUUACGUUGAAAAGUGAGCGGAUGAACUGAGGGUAGCGGAGAAAUUCCAAUCGAACCUGGAGAUAGCUGGUUCUCUCCGAAAUAGCUUUAGGGCUAGCCUCAAGUGAUGAUUAUUGGAGGUAGAGCACUGUUUGGACGAGGGGCCCCUCUCGGGUUACCGAAUUCAGACAAACUCCGAAUGCCAAUUAAUUUAACUUGGGAGUCAGAACAUGGGUGAUAAGGUCCGUGUUCGAAAGGGAAACAGCCCAGACCACCAGCUAAGGUCCCAAAAUAUAUGUUAAGUGGAAAAGGAUGUGGCGUUGCCCAGACAACUAGGAUGUUGGCUUAGAAGCAGCCAUCAUUUAAAGAGUGCGUAAUAGCUCACUAGUCGAGUGACACUGCGCCGAAAAUGUACCGGGGCUAAACAUAUUACCGAAGCUGUGGAUUGUCCUUUGGACAAUGGUAGGAGAGCGUUCUAAGGGCGUUGAAGCAUGAUCGUAAGGACAUGUGGAGCGCUUAGAAGUGAGAAUGCCGGUGUGAGUAGCGAAAGACGGGUGAGAAUCCCGUCCACCGAUUGACUAAGGUUUCCAGAGGAAGGCUCGUCCGCUCUGGGUUAGUCGGGUCCUAAGCUGAGGCCGACAGGCGUAGGCGAUGGAUAACAGGUUGAUAUUCCUGUACCACCUAUAAUCGUUUUAAUCGAUGGGGGGACGCAGUAGGAUAG
rnacentral:rRNA from 1 species